rnacentral:rRNA from 1 species
CAAGUCGAGCGGACAGAUGGGAGCUUGCUCCCUGAUGUUAGCGGCGGACGGGUGAGUAACACGUGGGUAACCUGCCUGUAAGACUGGGAUAACUCCGGGAAACCGGGGCUAAUACCGGAUGGUUGUUUGAACCGCAUGGUUCAAACAUAAAAGGUGGCUUUGGCUACCACUUACAGAUGGACCCGCGGCGCAUUAGCUAGUUGGUGAGGUAACGGCUCACCAAGGCAACGAUGCGUAGCCGACCUGAGAGGGUGAUCGGCCACACUGGGACUGAUACACGGCCCAGACUCCUACGGGAGGCAGCAGUAGGGAAUCUUCCGCAAUGGACGAAAGUCUGACGGAGCAACGCCGCGUGAGUGAUGAAGGUUUUCGGAUCGUAAAGCUCUGUUGUUAGGGAAGAACAAGUACCGUUCGAAUAGGGCGGUACCUUGACGGUACCUA